AGAUGGCCCACAGGAGCAUGAAAAGCUGCUCAGCAUCACUAAUACCAGGGAAAUGCAGAUCAGAAUCACAGUGAGACACCAUCUCACACCUGUCAGAAUGGCCGUCAUCAAAAAGGACACAAGUAACAAAUGUCGACGGUUGUGUCGGCCUUUGGCGGGCUGUGGAAUCCACGAGUCCGUCAACUGCUCCUGCCAGUGCACGUGAACACUUAGCACAGCCCGCUCUGCCGAGGUGGUGCCGGCGUCACUGCCUGCACUCUUUCCCCCAGGCAUGUUGGCCUUGCCCAUAGUUAGUUCCCAAAGAAGUUGUGAUGAAUGGAUGGAUGGAUGGAUAGACGGAUGGACGGAUGGACGGAUGGAGGAAUGGAUGGACCCAGAGGCUCCAGGCUGUUCUGCUGCUCAGUGAGGCGGUCUUGCCUCGGCCUGGCCUUCCCUCUCAAAAAGCCGCUUGGACUGGAAAUCAAGGCCAAAUGGUGAAUGUUCUUUGCCUGUCUCAAGAUGCUCUUCUUGAAGCUUUAUUUUUUUGCCUUUACAUUUAUGUCUUCACUCCAGCUUGCGUCGAUUUUUGUGCAUUUGUCUGCAAACUGCUGUGUGUGCAGGUCUCCCCUGCCCUAACUGCACUGCUGUGUGAGAACUGGAAUGUGAAGAACUGGGGAAAAUGCUGGUAUUCUGGUGACCGCCAUCACUGAGAAUAAACUACCUUUCACCCCUGACCCAGAAGACACAUGUCUCCUGCCAGCCUCCAGGAAACUGGAUGGCUCACUUUGUAACUUGGAAAGAGGAUAGCACCUCAGACCUUCACGGGCUUGGACACUGAUGUGCGAGAAGACUGUUUCUGGGAACGUGAGUUUGGGGACGGCUUGCUGCACAGCAUGACUGUGGCUGUGUUACCAGAGCUGGGCAGACCUCGUCCAGGGCUGGCACUGCUUUCAAGCUCUUGGUACAUAUUGCCAAUUUGCCUUCCGGAAAGGUACACUUGCACAAUGUACACUGGCACCCCGCAGUGAUAUCUGAGCGGAUUUUUUCCUGCCGAAACGCUAAGGUCUUCUGUCCUCCUCCCCCCGCACGCCUCCCCUCAUGUAAGCUUUGCCUUUGUGCUGGUUUUUCUGGCAGCAGGAGCUGGGAGAUGGGGCGAAGCCAUCCAAGCCUGUGAAGGCGGUGGCCUGUUAAGUGAGCGUGUGGCCUCUGUGCCAAGUGGGUCUGUCCCCAGGAAGAACAGGGAGUCUCGGCAAGGCCCUGAGCGAUAUCCCAGUGAACCCAAGGCGUGCGAAGA